rnacentral:rRNA from 1 species
UUGACCUCGAUCUGGUAGGGAUACCCGCUGAACUUAAGCAUAUCAAUAAGCGGAGGAAAAGAAACCAACAGGGAUUGCCUUAGUAACGGCGAGUGAAGCGGCAACAGCUCAAAUUUGAAAUCUGGACCCACGUCUGAUGCGGGGUUACC